UGGACCUUGCAGGACUCGAACCUGCGACCGGACGGUUAUGAGCCGUCUGCUCUAACCAACUGAGCUAAAGGUCC
rnacentral:tRNA from 2 species